rnacentral:rRNA from 1 species
UACAGAGGUCUCAAGCGUUGUUCGGAUUCAUUGGGCGUAAAGGGUGUGUAGGUGGCGCCGUAAGUCGUGUGUGAAAUCUCGGGGCUUAACUCCGAAACUGCAUUCGAUACUGCGGUGCUUGAGGACUGGAGAGGAGACUGGAAUUCAUGGUGUAGCAGUGAAAUGCGUAGAGAUCAUGAGGAAGACCAGUGGCGAAGGCGGGUCUCUGGACAGUUCCUGACACUGAGACACGAAGGCCAGGGGAGCAAACGGG